CCCAAUUGAUUGACGGUGCUUGCACCUGAUUGAUUUUGGCCGCCAACGAGUGGCGGACGGGUGAGUAACACGUAGGUAACCUGCCCAGAAGCGGGGGACAACAUUUGGAAACAGAUGCUAAUACCGCAUAACAACGUUGUUCGCAUGAACAACGCUUAAAAGAUGGCUUCUCGCUAUCACUUCUGGAUGGACCUGCGGUGCAUUAGCUUGUUGGUGGGGUAACGGCCUACCAAGGCGAUGAUGCAUAGCCGAGUUGAGAGACUGAUCGGCCACAAUGGGACUGAGACACGGCCCAUACUCCUACGGGAGGCAGCAGUAGGGAAUCUUCCACAAUGGGCGCAAGCCUGAUGGAGCAACACCGCGUGAGUGAAGAAGGGUUUCGGCCCGUAAAGCUCUGUUGUUAAAGAAGAACGCGUAUGAGAGUAACUGUUCAUACGUUGACGGUAUUUAACCAGAAAGUCACGGCUAACUACGUGCCAGCAGCCGCGGUAAUACGUAGGUGGCAAGCGUUAUCCGGAUUUAUUGGGUGUAAAGAGAGUGCAGGCGGUUUUCUAAGUCUGAUGUGAAAGCCUUCGGCUUAACCGGAGAAGUGCAUCGGAAACUGGAUAACUUGAGUGCAGAAGAGGGUAGUGGAACUCCAUGUGUAGCGGUGGAAUGCGUAGAUAUAUGGAAGAACACCAGUGGCGAAGGCGGCUACCUGGUCUGCAACUGACGCUGAGACUCGAAAGCAUGGGUAGCGAACAGGAUUAGAUACCCUGGUAGUCCAU
rnacentral:rRNA from 1 species